rnacentral:rRNA from 1 species
UUAACAAAAACAUGUCCUUUUGAUUUUUAUUUAAGGUCUAAUCUGCUCAAUGAUAUUUAAAUUGCCGCAGUAUUUUAACUGUGCGAAGGUAGCAUAAUAAUUAGUUUCUUAAUUAGGAGCUUGAAUGAAUGAUUGGACGAAAAAAUUUCUGUCUCAUUUUAAUGUUUUAUUGAAUUUUAUUUUUAAGUUAAAAAGCUUAAAUUAUUAUGAAAGACGAGAAGACCCUAUAGAGUUUAAUAUUAAAUUUAAAUAAUAUUUUAGAAAUUAAUUUUUAUUUUUAGUAUUUUGUUGGGGUGACUUGGAGAUUAAUUUAAUUCUCUAAAUUUUUAAUUGAUGAUAUUUAAUUUUCUAAUCUAUAAUUUGUAAAUUUAAAAACAAUUACCUUAGGGAUAACAGCGUAAUUUUUCUUAAAAGUUCUUAUUUAAAGAAGAUUUUGCGACCUCGAUGUUGGAUUAAAAUUAAUUUUUGGUGCAGUAACUUAAAAAUUUGGUCUGUUCGACCUUUAAAAUUUUACAUGAUCUGAGUUUAAACCGGUGUAAGCCAGGUUGGAUUCUAUCUUUAGAAAAUUAAUACAUUUUAGUACGAAAGGACCAAGUGUUUAUUAAAUAUUAAUUG